rnacentral:rRNA from 1 species
GACGAACGUUGGCGGCGCGCCUAACACAUGCAAGUCGUACGGCCCUUCGGGGCAGUGGCGGACGGCUGAGUAAUACUGGAGAACUUACCCUUAAGUGAGGCAUAGCCUACCGAAAGGUAGGGUAAUUCCUCAUAGCCUCAGUGCUUUAUUGUUAUUGAGUAAAGAAGCAAUUCGCUUGAGGAAAGGCUCCUGGCCUAUCAGCUAGUUGGUGAGGUAAAGGCUCACCAAGGCGACGAUCAGUAGCUGGUCUGAGAGGAUGACCAGCCACAUUGGGACUGAGACACGGCCCAAACUCCUACGGGAGGCAGCAGUGGGGAAUCUUGCGCAAUGGGCGAAAGCCUGACGCAGCCAUGCCGCGUGAAUGAUGAAGGUCUUAGGAUUGUAAAAUUCUUUCACCGGGGACGAUAAUGACGGUACCCGGAGAAGAAGCCCCGGCUAACUUCGUGCCAGCCGCCGCAGUAA